AGGAGAGGGUAUCUUUUGGAGCUAUAAACUGUGCAGCCUGAGGUUAGGGGAGAGGUGAUGCUAGCUCGCUAGCUCUCCUUUAGCUGCCCUCCCAACCCCCAAGCAACCAAAUUCACUGUCUCUUGACCCAGUUCAGUACUAGAACUUUCCUAGGAGUUGCAGUUCUUGUGGCUAAUCUUAUAGAAACAAUUAUAAAUCAUGACACCGUGUCUUUAGGAGGUUAUGUUAAAUAAAUACAAUCAAAAUCUCUAACUUU
rnacentral:lncRNA from 1 species